rnacentral:rRNA from 1 species
ACGUGAACUUGUUCUACUAGGUUUU